GGGCAAGUGCUAUCGAAUGCCAUAUUGGAGCCAUGUUGAAGGACAAGAAGAGCAGCCGUUAGAAAAUCAGUUGAUAUGUUGUACAUUGCUCAACCGAGAUGAAAUGCCUCAAAAUUAAACUGGUUUUUUUCUGAAAUCGAUUGUUCAUGUAUUUAUAUACCAUGGCAAGUAGCAGCGAAACGAAAAAACACAAAAUGUUUUCUAAAAAUCAAGUAAGAAUAUCCAGUAAAGGAAGAAGCAUAAAAACUCCAAAGAACGUAUUAACCACUUCUGACGAAGAACCACCUAUAAAAAAGAUAAAACCAUCUUCGAUAAGUGAAAAAAUGAACAAAUUAAAAGUUCUAGCAGAACAAUUAGAGUUGAAAAAAGCAACAACUUUGCCUAAAGGGAAGGAAUCUACGGCUGGUUUGGGCUCGAAUAGUAAAACCAGUUCUGACCAUACCUCACAGUUGGAAGAAUUUGAAAGUUUCUCAGACCAAUCAAAUAAGAAAAUGAUAACUAAGUCGUCUCAAAAAGAUAAAUCUGCGGCUGCAGCUGCCUUGGGCAGUGAAUCCAGUUCUGCCAUUAUAUUACAGUCGAAUGAAUCUGAAACUUUCUCAAACCAAUCAAAUCAGAAAAAAAUAAUUAAUUCGUCUAAAGAAGAACAUUAUGCAAUCAAUGUUGACCCAAGUGUUGGUACCAGAUCAGAAAAAUCAACACUGACUCAUUGUCAGUCGCAUGGCACAGAUUCUCCUGCUUCUAAGGAAUUGUAUGGAAAGGGUUUGGAAAAAAAUUCAUUGAUAAAUGCCAAUUUUUUAAACAAUAGCAGCAGAACUGAAACUUUUUUGGAUAUACCAGUUAUAAAUUUUCCUCCUGAAGCUUGUGCUGAUUCUGGAGAAAUUCAGAAAAGAUUAGAAACCAUCGAAACAAAAGUGGAUAAAAUUUGCGAUCAAAAUAAUGAAAUUCUUCAAAUUUUGAGGGCACGUUAUAGUACAGAUCAACUCGCUAAUAGACUGUAUCAAAACUUAGACGGCUAUCCGAUUGACUCUAUUGAGCAGUUCCGUCAUUUAGACGAUGAAGCAAAUAAACAAGAACGCCAAACUGUGCAUGACCAUUAAGUUCGGUUAGGCGGUUUGACCUUAAGAGAAUUCCUUGGUAUGGCCAUCAAGCAAGUAAUGACUGACAACCUCGUCCUAAAAUAUACCUGGCACAAGCAGAAAGACACAGAAAAAUUUGGCGACACGAGAGUUUCCAAUGUUUUCUAUCGAGCUGCCGUUAACUGUCCUUUAUUCGCCGGACCUGAAAAUAAGACAGCAUAUAAAGGAGCAAUUUUAUUAAUAUUUAAAGCCACCAAGCAAAGGUAUCGCAAAAAGUUAAAAAAAACAUGGGCGAAGAGGGCGGCAACAUUGAAAGAAAGGUGGAUGAAGCAAUUGCUAACAUAUCUGCUCUCUUGGAAUCAGAACAUAACUCGAGCGGUUUUGAAGGCGAUGUGGAAGAUGUAGAAGAAUAUUUGGCAUCAGAUCUGGAACUCAGCUCGACAUCAGAUGCGGAAGACGAAAUUUUUAAUUAAUCCUAAGAACUGAUGCUUUUUUCUUACUUAUUAAAAGUUGUUGAAUUCUCUAUUCGAAAUUGUUGUGUCAAAAAAAUUAUCAAUAUUUUAUUUAAAAAUUGAGUUAACUAUUUUUAAAUUUACGUUGCUAUUGAAUUUUAUUCCAGUUUUUUAAAACUUACUUGUUCCUUCGUCAUUUGUGUGAUUUAUUCGUUGUUGGGCUUUAAAAAAUAACGAAUCACUAUUGUUCAGAAGUCACACGUUAAUUACCUAUUUCUUAAAUUCACGUUUCUUCUUGAUAUUCAUUUAUUCGUUUCGCUGAAACUUAUCUUGGCCAUUAUUGUAUAAACCGUUUGUUACUGUCCUGUGAAAAAAGUAACAUACCAAUGAUAUUCGAAAUUAGUUUUUAAAAUAUUUUUUAAAUUUAUGUUCACUGUUGAUUUGAAUUCAGAUUAAUGUUAUUUGCAAUUCGUGUAUUUUAUACCUUACUUUACGUGUACCUUACUUUUAGCAUCGAGACGGUUAAUGGUCCAUUUUCGCUGUUAAUCUGUUGAACGGAGUAAUCUAGCGAUAUUAUAUUCUAAGUUUACAUAUAACAUUCCUGUUUUUAACUUUGCGACGUUUAUUAAUAUGUUUAUUUAAGUGUUAUUGGUUUUCUUCUUAAUAAAUGUAAUCAUCCCACUAAAAAAGAAUAAUUCAGCAAAUCCGUUUCAAAUUCAGAAUUGAUUGAUUUCCAAAAAUAUCCAUGCAA